rnacentral:rRNA from 1 species
UACAGAGGGGGCAAGCGUUAUUCGGAAUUAUUGGGCGUAAAGGGCGCGUAGGCGGCUUUUCAAGUGGCGGGUGAAAUCCCUCGGCUUAACCGAGGAACUGCCUGUCAGACUGGAAGGCUUGAGACCGGGAGAGGUGAGUGGAAUUCCCAGUGUAGCGGUGAAAUGCGUAGAUAUUGGGAGGAACACCAGUGGCGAAGGCGGCUCACUGGACCGGAACUGACGCUGAGGCGCGAAAGCGUGGGGAGCAAACAGG